UGGAUGAUGUGGAUUAAUUCGAUGCAACGCGAAGAACCUUACUACCCUUGACAUGUCCGGAACUUGCCAGAGAUGGCUUGGUGCCCGAAAGGGAAUCGGAACACAGGUGCUGGCAUGGCUGUCGUCAGCUCGUGUCGUGAGAUGUUGGGUUAAGUCCCGCAACGAGCGCAACCCUUAUCAUUAGUUGCUACGCAAGGGCACUCUAAUGAGACUGCCGGUGACAAACCGGAGGAAGUGGGGAUGACGUCAAGUCCUCAUGGCCCUUAUGGGUAGGGCUUCACACGUCAUACAAUGGUCGGUACAGAGGGUUGCCAAGCCGCGAGGCGGAGCCAAUCCCACAAAGCCGAUCGUAGUCCGGAUUGUUCUCUGCAACUCGAGAGCAUGAAGUCGGAAUCGCUAGUAAUCGCAGGUCAGCAUACUGCGGUGAAUACGUUCCCGGGCCUU
rnacentral:rRNA from 1 species